CAGUCCCUCCGUGCACAUACCCACUCCCUACUACGGUGGGAUGAGCGGUAUGUUCCGUACCAUCGCCGGGCCGGGAUGCUUUGUCAAGCUCGAGUUGUGUGUAUGGGGCUCCCAGCGAUGAAUGCACCUCCGUUGACUGCUUUUGUGGACCGUUGGAGGCCAGAGAUACAUUCCUUCCAUUUACCUUGCGGGGAGGUUACCAUCACUAUGCAAGAUGUCACGAUGAUUCUUGGACUACCUUUAGAGGGGAAUGCAGUGACCAGCAUUGUAUAGAGUGAUGGUUGGAGAGAUUUUGGUCGUCUGGAGAAAGAGAACAUCCAGCACCGGGCCCGGGCAAAAGUAGAUGACAAAAUGCCGAACCCCGAGUCGCGAUCGCGACGCGGAAGGGCGGAAGUCUGGAAAACCGGGCACUACUCGGAUCCCGAGUGGAUGUUAGGUUAUUUUCAGGGGGGCUUACUGGACAAGGGGCCUGGUCGCAGUUAUCUAAAGAGGAAGAGAAAGAUCAUAUGAAGAUCAAGUGCCGAGAGUUGGAGAGUAUGGUGCUGGAGUUGUUUGCCAAAAGAGGUUGGAAUUUUAGAAGCAGAGUGACCUGUUAGUGGGAUGGGGGCAUGAUCCAAGGGCGUAGUGCGAUGAGAUUCUAGUGUUGUGGAACCUUGUUUAGUUUCGUUGGGUAGCGUUUGCUAUCCGCAGCCUGUGUGUUGCAUUACUGUGUCUGUUGGUUGUGGACCGUCGCAUGUGAUCGGUUGAGGCCGGAUUUUCCUCAAUCUAAAAAAAAUCAAGAAGAUUGUGAAA